UCUUCUUGAGGCUGCCACAGAAUUGUGGAAGACAGUACAUGAUAUCUAUUCUGAAUAAAAUAACAUUGUAAUUUUCUACCAAGUACUUCUGCUCAUACCUCAGUUUAAGCAAGGCAUGAAAGUGUGGGUAUUACAAUCUUGUUAAUAGCGUUACUAGUAAAAACUGGUUUGAAUGGGUUUAUGUCUUCACAUCUCGGCCUAAGUGCACCACUAACAUGGUUUCUCAUGGUUGAGCAGGGUUGAACUAAGUGGUCCAGGUUUUGAAACCUGCAUGGAAGGUUUCUUCUGAAGCUUGAUUUGCUGAACUUACAUUCAUCAGCUACGACUAAUUUUAAAAUUUUCUUCCAUAUUUCUCUAAUUGUAUCAUUCUCUUCCGUAUUUCUCUAAUUGUAUUAAAUUAUUAGUUAAAAGACCUAUCUAGUUAUGGCACUAGUUGUUUCAUUGUUUCAUUUACAGCAGUAGAUAAGUAACUUAUUUCAAAUAAUCUUGCCAUUUUUGAAAUAUUCUAUAUGAUUUGGAACCUUCAAGUAUCAUCUUGAUUUGUUGGUUUACAACAGGUAAAGAUUUGGGAAGACAGGAAGGCAUUGCCCCAUGUGCACUAGGACCCUCUAAUUCCUGCUUUUUCUUUGGCCCAUCUGGGACUUCUUUCACCUUUCUUAGUACAUCUUUGUUACAUAUUUUGACUUAGAAGUUAUUGUAUCAAAUGAUAAAAAUUCUAUUACAAAUUUACAAUUAUAUGCCACAUGUGCAAUUUGUAAGUAAUUUCUAAGCUUUUAUACCAACUUUGACUGAAUUAACAGAAUUUUCAUUUGAGGCCAAUAGUCUGUAUAGAUGGGGGGAUAUUUUGCAUUAAUGAUGAUGAUACAUAUCAUUCGUUAGGUGGAUCCCAAUGUUAAUGUUCAACAGAUCAGAAAUCUACUCUAUUGAACAAUCAUAGCUAUCUGAUCGGUGGACUUCCUCGAGUUGCAUAUGCAUAUCUCUAGUUACUGCAUCAUUUCAUCUACAAUUUGAUGUUUAAAAAUGUUUCUGCAUCAUAAAUACUGGGAAUGUAAUUACAAUUUGACCAUUGCCGGUCUACAAUUUAAUCUUUCCUAUUAACUAAAUUAUGUAUUUCAAGGUUAUUUUCUCCAUCAACGCAAGGCAGAGAUGACAGAUUUCCUGACAAAGAUUGCAUUGUGGAAUAUGCAUCCAUUAUCCAAAGAAAUUGUGACAUUCCAAGCACUCACAGUCUCUCCUUGCAAGCUAAAUUGGCUGACAAGCUAAAGAAGUCAGUAGAGGAUGAAAUUCAUUUUCUCAAGGCAAGGGUUUCAGAACUUGAAAGUAAUCUUGUGUCGAAGUCUACAGAAGUUACAUCUGCAGUUUCAAGGAAAGAAGAAGCUCUAUCUUCUGCAUUUGCUGA